rnacentral:rRNA from 1 species
CCUACGGGUGGCAGCAGUGAGGAAUAUUGGUCAAUGGCCGGAAGGCUGAACCAGCCAAGCCGCGUGAAGGACGAAGGUGCCAAGCAUUGUAAACUUCUUUUGUCAAGGGACAAAAUCAUGCUCGAGAGCCUGACCGAGGGUACUUGAAGAAAAAGCAUCGGCUAACUCCGUGCCAGCAGCCGCGGUAAUACGGAGGAUGCGAGCGUUAUCCGGAUUUAUUGGGUUUAAAGGGUGCGUAGGCGGUGUUUUAAGUCAGCGGUGAAAGCCCGGGGCUCAACCCCAAGAGUGCCGUUGAAACUGGAUGUCUUGAGUGGGCGAGAGGUAUGCGGAAUGCGUAGUGUAGCGGUGAAAUGCUUAGAUAUUGCGCAGAACUCCGAUUGCGAAGGCAGCAUACCGGCGGCGAUCUGACGCUGAGGCACGAAAGCGUGGGUAUCGAACAGGAUUAGAUACCCCUGUAGUC